rnacentral:rRNA from 1 species
AACGAACGCUGGCGGCGUGGAUAAGACAUGCAAGUCGAACGGGACUAAAUCUGUAGCAAUACAGGUUUAGUUUAGUGGCGAACGGGUGCGUAACACGUGGGCAAUCUGCCGAGAAGUGGGGGAUAGCUCGCCGAAAGGCGAAUUAAUACCGCAUAUGAUCAGCUAAGACAUCUUAGCGACAUCAAAGACCGGGGCGAACCUGGCGCUUCUUGAUGAGCCCGCGGCCUAUCAGCUAGUUGGUGAGGUAACGGCUCACCAAGGCUAUGACGGGUAGCUGGUCUGAGAGGACGACCAGUCACACUGGAACUGAGACACGGUCCAGACACCUACGGGUGGCAGCAGUCGAGAAUUUUUC